rnacentral:rRNA from 1 species
UACAGGGGGUGCAACCGUUGCUCGGAAUCAUUGGGCGUAAAGCGCACGUAGGCGGUCUGUUAUGUCGGAUGUGAAAGCCCUCGGCUCAACUCAUAGUCUGCAUCGGAAACUGCCGGGCUUGAGUGUGGGAGAGGUGAGUGGAAUUCCUGGUGUAGCGGUGAAAUGCGUAGAUAUCGGGAGGAACACCCGUGGCGAAGGCGGCACUCUGGGACGGUACUGACGCUGAUGCGCGAAAGCCAGGGGAGCGAACGGG